GUGGGUGUAGCUCAGUGGUAGAGUGCUUGCUUAGCAUGCAUGGGGCCCUGGGUUCCAUCCCCAGUACUACA
rnacentral:tRNA from 1 species